CUACGGGAGGCAGCAGUAGGGAAUAUUGCGCAAUGGGGGAAACCCUGACGCAGCGACGCCGCGUGAGUGAUGACCGCCCUAUGGGUAGUAAAGCUCUGUAAGCGAGGGAAGAACCUGUUGGUGUACCGGCCAGCUCUGACGGUACCUCCAAAGUAAGGACCGGCUAGGUACAUGCCAGGAGGCGCGGGAAUACGUAUGGUCCGAACGUUGUCCGGAAUGACUGGGCCUAAAGGGUGCGUAAGCGGACGAUACAAGUCAGGUGUGAAAUCCGCGGGCUCAAUCUGAGAACGGAGCUUGAGACUGUAUUUCUAGAGUAUGUCAGAGGUAGGCGGAAUUCCCGGACUACCGGUGAAGUGCGUAGAGAUCGGGGAGAACACCCGGAGGCGAAUGCGGCUUACUGGGGCAUAAGUGACGCUGAGGCACUAAAGCGUGGGGAGCGAACGGGAUUAGAGACCCCGGUAGUCCACAGCCGUAAACGCUGGAUACUAGAUCUUGGGUGUUUUACGCACCACUCGGUGUCGUAGCUAACGCGAUAAGUAUCCCGCCUGGGGAGUACGGUCGCAAGAUUAAAACUCAAAGGAAUCGCCGGGGACCCGCACAACCGCUGGAGCAUCUGGUUUAAUUCGAGGCUACGCGAAGAGCCUUACCCGGACUUGACAUCCCGGGCCACAGAUAGAGAUAUGUGGUAUCUCUUCGGAGACUCAGGAGACAGGUGGUGCAUGACUGUCGUCAGCUCGUCUUGUCGAGAUGCUUGGGAUAAGUCCCGCAGCGAGCGCCACCCUUACUGUCAGUCGCCAGCAUUAAGUUGGCCAUUCUGACGGAAUUGCCCGGGUUAACCGGGAGAAAGGUGGGGAUGACGUCAAGUCCUCAUGGCCCUUAUGUCCGGGGUUACACACGUGCUACAUUGUUGCAGACAGAGGGUAAGUGAGUCGGUAACGUUAAGCGAAUCUCAGAACCUGUACCCUCAGUUCGGAUUGGGGUAUGCAACUCGAGCCCUAUGAAGUUGGAAUCGCUAGUAAUCGCGGAACAGCAUGCCGCGGUGUAUAUGUUCCCGGGCUUUGUACACACCGCCCGUCACACCAUGGGAUUGUUCUCACUGGAAGACGUUGAGCCAGCCUUCGGGAGGCAGGCGUC
rnacentral:rRNA from 1 species